rnacentral:rRNA from 1 species
UACGUAGGGGGCAAGCGUUGUCCGGAUUUAUUGGGCAUAAAGCGCGUGUAGGCGGCCUUGUAAGUCCGUUCUGAAAGCCCGGGGCUCAACCCCGGGAGGCGGAUGGAUACUGCAAGGCUCGAGUCCGGAAGAGGCAAGUGGAAUUCCCGGUGUAGCGGUGAAAUGCGCAGAUAUCGGGAGGAACACCAAUGGCGAAGGCAGCUUGCUGGGACGGUACUGACGCUGAGACGCGAAAGCGUGGGGAGCAAACGGG